rnacentral:rRNA from 1 species
AGGGAAUAUUGCGCAAUGGGGGAAACCCUGACGCAGCGACGCCGCGUGAAGGAAGAAGGUCUUCGGAUCGUAAACUUCUUUGACUGGGGACGAAAGUAAUGACGGUACCCAGGGAACAAGCCACGGCUAACUACGUGCCAGCAGCCGCGGUAAUACGUAGGUGGCGAGCGUUGUCCGGAAUUACUGGGUGUAAAGGGCGUGUAGGCGGGAGAGCAAGUCAGAUGUGAAAGCCCAAGGCUCAACUUUGGGACUGCAUCUGAAACUGUUUUUCUUGAGUACUGGAGAGGGAAGCGGAAUUCCUAGUGUAGCGGUGAAAUGCGUAGAGAUUAGGAGGAACACCAGUGGCGAAGGCGGCUUCCUGGACAGAGACUGACGCUGAGGCGCGAAAGCGUGGGGAGCGAAC